rnacentral:rRNA from 1 species
CAACUUUAAGCAAUGGAUCACUUGGUUCUCGCAUCGAUGAAGAGCGUAGCAAAUUGCGAAAAGUAAUGCGAUCUGCAGCCUUUGCGAAUCAUCGAAUUCUCGAACGCACCUU